GCACGUGAUCAAAUAGUCCAUUUUUCCUGUCUUAAAAUUACAUUUUAGUGUCUACCUUUUGUCCGUACUCCGUUGCAAUCCCGAUGAUAAAAGUGAAACUCAGAAAGAGAAAAUUAUUUUUAUUUGUACCAGCGACUUAAGUCAACCACCAACUCCCAGCGAUCAGGAGAGAAAGAAGAGAUGAAAGUGAAGUCGUGGUUAGUUGAAUCGGCGCCAUUUGCAGCCAUGGUGGCUGUGGAGUGCCUGGAUGUUGGCUUAUCCACCCUCAGCAAAGCUGCCAUGUCCAAAGGAAUGAGCCACUUUGUCCUUGUCGUCUACUCAAAUGCUCUGGCUUCCCUCAUUCUUCUUCCAGCGGCUUUUUUCUUCACAAGGAAAAAGCGGCCACCAAUUACUUUAUCUUUUCUGUGCAAAAUUUUCUGCUUAAGCAUUGCUGGGAUCACUUUGAUGCAGAACUGUGUAAUCACCGGUGUAAGUUACAGCUCUCCAACCCUUGCUUCUGCUCUUGCCAACUUAAUCCCAGCUUUCACUUUCUUGCUUGCUGUUAUCUUCAGGAUGGAAAAGCUAGAGUUGAAAAGCCCAAAGAGUCAGAUCAAAGUGUUGGGCACCUUGGUAUCCAUUUCUGGAGCGUUCAUUAUGACCCUUUACAAGGGUCCUCCAGUACUUUCCCCACCAAUUCAACCGCAUUUACACCCAUCUCCUUCUACCAUGUUAACAACAUCUAACAAUUGGCUCAUAGGUGGCCUCUUCAUCGCUACUGCCUCUUUGUCACUUUCAGCAAACAUCGUUGGUCAGGCUGCGGUUCUGAAAGGGUAUCCAUCGGAGAUAACGUUGGUUUCCUUCUAUUGCCUCUUUGGGACCAUUCAAUCUGCAUUGGUUACUUUGAUUUUUGAAAGAGACCCCAACGCUUGGAUGUUGAGUCCAGAUAUCGAGCUCAUUUCUGUGGUCUACUCAGCUUUAUUUGGAAAUGUGGUAACAUUCGGCGUGCAAGCAUGGUGCAUUCGGCGUAAAGGGCCGGUCUUUGUGGCCAUGUUCAAGCCCUUAAGUAUUGCUAUUGCUGCCUUCUUGGGGUUCAUUUUCCUUGGUGAAACGCUUUAUAUUGGCAGGAAAAAUAUGACGGAUGAUUCAAAGAUGGAGGAGCAACCACCCAUUUAUAGUAGUACAAAAUCUCCACAACUUUGUAUUCUUUAGACGUGAGAUUGUGUUAUUUCAAUAAGUUGAUUAUUAUAAAGGGAUGUACUAAAGUUGAACACAAUAAUAGGCUACAAAUAGACGACCAGUUGAUUUCACAAGAGAUACUCUAAACAAAAAUUCCUUAACUUGGACAUAAAAUCAAAGGAACUUUUGACAGAAACAUUGUGUAAAUUGGUCUGAAUUUUGUGGAACUAUUCAUUUAAGCCAAAGAGCUUCUUACAAUGAUGUUUAUUCUCUAUCCGCAUCAUUUACUGCUUAUGUUUAAAGGCUCUAGCGAGGCUCAUAGUUGUGACUAAAUCAGGGGUUUAUGCAUUUGAGCAUUUAAUCGGAUGGAAUCAUCUAAUCCAGCCAUAAAUAGCCUAACAUGUUGUUUUGCCCGAAUGUACUGACUAGCUUGUCUUAAUUUUUAUCGCAAUUGUCAAUGAUAAAGCUCUACCCUUCCUAUCUGUUUCAAACUAACCAAAUCUCCCAAGCGGAAGGACCAAAACAGAGGGAGCAAUAAUUGCUGAAUUAUAAUCAUUUCAGCACACCCCUCUAACUUAAUCUGAAAAAUAUCAAAGUUGUGCCUCAUCCAGCAUGUGGAAGGUUGCCAAACUUUAUCUACCUCAGUCCUGUGUUGAUUUUCGAAAAACUAUUCACACCGAUGCAAGCCAAAUCAAAGGAUCUUCCGAUCGAUCAAACUAAUAUCAUUACUUGGGAAUAGUUUUUUCAAGUGGCGAAAUUGCCCCACUCGGGGGUGUUUCCGUCACGCCUCCUCCAACAGCUGAUGGGAGAUGGGAAGUAUUAAAUCACCCUUCAAAGGACUACGUACGUGUUGGCUGAAACCUACGCACACAACCCGAAUAAGUAAACAUGCAAUGUAUUGUGGGAGCAGCCAUAAUUGUAACGGGCUUUUAUGGGGUGAUAUGGGCACAGUCGGACAAGGAAGAAGUGGGCAAGACAACAACCACCCCCCUCUUAGAUGGACAUGAUGCAGAUGCCUAAAUGAUUAAAUUUCUAUUCUUUUUAAAAUGAUACAUUCAUGAAAUUUUAUGGGUUAGAGCAAAUAUUUUAUUAAUUUUGUGUGUGCUAAUUUAAAAGAUCAAAAUAA